GGAUGGCCUUUAUUUAGCAGGAGCCCAAGCGCAGCCGAGCCCGGGUCUCGGUGGCACCUGGCAGCGUGUUGCGCCCUCCGCGGCGUCUCCACCGCUGAUGCAACCCCGGCUGCGGCGGCGAUGGCAGAGUGCCCUGAGAAGGCUCUAGCCCUCUCCCUACCCUCUUACUUCAUGGCAUCGCUCUUCCCCCCUCCCACCGUCAGGGCAGGACCUGCUGCACCCACUGGCUCCUCGGCGUGCGUAAUGGGCUGACAUUAUCUCCCCGGGUCACUCCGCUUUGGAGGAUUACCUCACUGAGAAAACAGGCACCGGCAUGCACACUCGUGCACACCCAUCUCAUGCAAACAGAUCCACCCGCACAGGAACAGGCAGCAGCACAGGAAGGUGCACCACAGGCCAGGCGAUAAAGGGGUGAACCAGAGCAGAGUGGACUGAAAAGAAGGCAGCCAGCAAGAUAACCCAGGGAACUGCAAGGAGUCAUCUGGCUCGCAUAACCUCUGUGCUUUCACCUGCUCCACCCCUGACGGCCGCUCAGCUGCGCAUCUGGCAGCACCUGGCCAAAGACCAAACCUUGAUCCCCCUCCUCACUAGAAAAUUGCUCCGUGUGCUGAGAAGUGAUGAAAAAGGAUCCUCCUGGCCCUGCACUCUGCCUUGCCACCUCCCAGGGCUGCGCCAGGCAGAGCUGCUGACAGAUGCAGAGACAGCACCAAGCCUUCCUCCUGCCCGGACUGCCUGCCCUUGGCUCCUGCACCCACCGAAGCUCUUAGCAAUGAGCUCACCCCUCUAUUAUUGCUGAUCCAGGAGUCUGGAGGCUCUCGGAAGCAUGGUAUCGAUCCCUGCCUCUUACACGUCCCCCCCAGGGCUGCAGUUUCAGGAAAGCUCUUUGCCUCUCCCCGCUCUGCCUCUCCUUCGCAGCCUCCAGGAACGCGCUUCCAGGGGGAGCUUGGAGCUGGGGGCCAGGACCGUGGUGAGAGGGAUGGGGGCUAAGCCUGGCCUCUGUGCUUUGGCUGUCCAUGUGCUGGGAAAAGACACAGUGGGCAUUUCAUAAACUCAAAAGAAGGUGCAAUCUCCCCCUUCCCAGGGGGUUACGGGUGGAGGACCCCUGGUGCCCUGCAUGGGACCCAGCCCCGUGUGGUCUCUGGUCAUGGACAGCAUGGACUUUGUGAAGGCAAUGUGCCCGAGGUCUCUUUUCUGUCCUCCCUCUACCAAGCUUGCAGAGGUGCUGGUGUGACUUGUGCCAGCCAGGAAGCAGGUGACAGCAGUGCCCCUGUGCAAACUCAGCCAGCGGCACUCACAAACAAGCUGGCUCAUCUGCCGGGCAGCACUCGCUUAUGGCAAUGAUCAACUCAGCAGCAUCCUGCUGCCUCUAGAGGGAAAUCCUACUGUGGUGAGGGAGAGGCAGCAGGGCAGGGGAUGCUGCUACUUCUCGUCCUACCCGGACACUCUCCCUUGGAGGGCAGACAGGGGCUCAGCCUGUUUGUGGGGACUUUUGCCUUGCAGACGGGAGUUUUGUGAACGCUGCCAGCACCAUGCCAGAGCAAAUAACCCCACUCCGCACCCCAAAGGCUGCUUCUCCCACCUGUUCAGGUCCACUUUGCACAUGCAGCCAGGUGCCACCAUGAGGAACCGCAAGGCGGUCAAAAGAGGCUGGUAGAGCUACAGCCAGGAACCAGGGCUCCUUGCCUUGCUAUGACACAAACAGUUUGCAGCCCAGCCCCUUACCAAAUGGGCUGCCUCACUCCCCCCACAUUCCCAGGAAGACUUUCAGGUGCCUGGGUAUGCUUCAUAAAUGACUAAUGAGCCUUGCAAACAUUAGUGCUCUGCCGGCUGCCAGAAGCAGACUGAGAUCAAGCCCUCCCUUGCGUCCAUCAGCUCCACCCAGGAAGCAGACUUGCCUUUGACAACAACCACAAUAAGAAGCAGGCAGCCAACGAAACCCACAGUGCCCUGAGCAGGAGAGCUGUGAUGCUUGCAUCACAGGAAGGGAGAUGGAGAUGGAGAAAACCUCCUGGGAAGGGGUGACUGUCCAUGAAGGAGAAAACCUUGUACCUGGCACCAGCCACCUUCACACUGGUCCUUGAAUCACAGCUGUGGUUUCUCCCUGGAGGCAGGUUUGGGCUCGCAUGGGGAAGUCUCUCAUUUUUGGGGUGGACUUGCAGACAACAGCCUGUGGAGUGGGCAGAGGAAAUCUCCAUGCUCAAAACCAGAGUUUUUCCUUUUAAAAUUGCUCCCGCGGCUCUGGUUUGCAGAUGGGAUGCAGGAGUAGAUGCUUGAUCUCCUAGAAGGACCAACAGGUGGACUUCUGUACCCCAAGAAGAUAUACUCCAAGGACUUAUUUCAGCUGAUCUCACACAUACGAGCGAUAGCCCUCCAGUAACAACCCGUGGUGUCUGCUCUAGGUGGCGGUUCUCUCAUGGCACCACUGGAUCCCCUUACAUUUGAGGAACUUGCCCUGGACAAAGAGGUCUUGCCCUCAUCCUACCCGCCUGCAUUUCAAGCACAUUAGCACAUUUUUGUGUGCGUGGGUCAGAAUUUAGCUGACUCCUGGCACUUAUUGCCCUCACAGCUCUGAGUCAAAGGAGGAAGAGGACAGGUCACCUUCCACUGCUGAUACUACAAAGUAGGCAUGAAAUAAGCCUGACCUUCGUGUACUGCAUUUGCUGGAGAAAUCAACACUUCCUAUACAUAGAAAAAUCAAUGAAAAGUGACUUACCAAAUGAAUCCCUACUGAUCUUGGCCCAGGACAAAACCUCCUACAUCAAGAGGGCCUCACACAGCCACCUUCCAAACCCCAAACCAAAGCCUGAACUUCCCUCUGUCAGGCCUAUCUGCCCCCAGCUAGAAACCGUGAGCGACCCUGGCAGAAAUCUUCCUCCCGUGGCUGCAGGAAGGGCUCCUGCUGCUCUGACGGCCAUCAGAUGGUGCCAUUGAGUCUUCUGUGGAAGCCAAGCCCCGAGGAGCGCGGGUUUGCACCAGGGACCAUGUUGGCUUCUCGCUCCAUCUCGCCCACUUCCAAAAAAAAGACCAAGCGAAGAGAUUUUUCUAGCAUAGUAAAGCAAAUGUGUUUUUUCUGCUGUUGCCAACGAUGUUAGCAAGCACCCAUGUCACUGUUAUUAGUGGGUUUUGCACCAGUCUUGCAAGACAGGGUAUAUUCUUGCAGCUGGACUCUAGUGAUGCCAGGAUAGGAGCAAGUGAUAGCAGUUUAGGAGCAUUUUGGCCUCAGUUUCCCCAAAACAAGGUGUGUUUACUACUGGAAAGAUUUAGAAAAGAGGAAUUGAGAUCAAGCCGAGCAGAAAUGAAAGAGGAGCAGCGUUAGCAAAAGCUCCCUUUCGCAGUGAUGUGGGAUGUGGGACGUGCUCAGGCAGUCCUAGAGAGCUCCCGUUUGGGGUGAGCUCCUGGCCACCUCCCCCUGCUUCUUCCCUUUUUGUUUUUAGCACAGCAUACAAAACAAGGAGAGGAGGGUUGUGCAUCAGGGCACGCUGCUCGCAGUGCUCUCAUCACAUCUGAUGUCUCCCCUCCAGACAUGGGGCCGGCAUGUCCCAGGGUUUUGAAUUAAUAAUUCUCUUAGAGGCAGGCUGUGGUUUGCAAUGGCCAGAGCCUGGCACUGCCGUCCAGCUGAGGUCUUUACCUGGCAUUGCAAAUAUGCAGAGAUAAUAACUGAUUACUGCUUUUCCUGGGUUGGCUUUGGGUUUUAAUUGUGUGAGAUGAGAGAGGAGAAAAAAUGCCAGCGAGAUGAGGAAGGCUGGGGAGGAGGGCGAGGAGAAAUCAUUACAAUUGCAUUUAGUCAGUGAUAAGCAUGGCUGCUGAGCCGGGCUGGGUGCUUUCCAAGCACGGUGGGAGCCAGCUUCAAUUUCACAGCAUAAUCUUUCCUGUGGCCUUAAAAUAACUUCUCCCUGCCCCCAGGGUGUCACAGGAGCUGAAGAGCCAUGUGUGCCCCUUCCCUGAGCAGCCCCACGCUCGGCGCUGCCUUAUCAUCACCUGGGGGCUGCUUUGAGAGCGGUCACAUCACACAUGUCACACUGAGACACCGAGCUCUGGGGCAGAAAGGGGACAUUUUGCAGACCUGUGGUCUCCCCAGGAGGGUGGCAGGCUGGGGACAGUUGGCUGUUUGCGCUCGUCUUCAGUGCCAGCAAAAGAGCAGCUUCCCCGAACCACUCGGCAGAGAUGGGACCUCGUCACUGUCGGGGCUAAUUGCUCAUGUGAGACGUAUUUACAGAAGCAACUGUUUGUGCAGAGCAAGGCAGACAAACAGACUCCUGUUCUGCCAGGCACCCUUUGUAAUCGCUGGGGGCUGGGAAUCCUUCCAUGUGGGCAUGGGAGGCCUCGUUUGUACCGCGGGCACCAGUCCUGCACCGGGCUGGAUGGCACUGGCAGGAUGCUGAGCCCCCGUCCUGACUCCCAGACCACCAGGAACGAAGGCCAGGUCCUGGCACAGGAGCUUUGCUGUCCCCACAGCUUGCAAAUUUGGGGGUUCUGCAGAGAUAAAUCCUGCCCUGUAGAAAAAGCAGGUGCAGCUGGGGGGGACACAGCACCAGCCCUCACACCGUGCUCCUUCAAGGAGCCAGAAAGUUGUCCUGUGCCUCUGCAAAUAAUAGCUAAGGCUGCUUGCUUAAAAGCAUCCAAAUAACAGACUGAAAUAAAUCCUUCUGCCCAUUCCUCUGUU